GACGAACGCUGGCGGCGUGCCUAAUACAUGCAAGUCGAACGCAGUGGGGACGGGUGAGUAACACGUGGGUAACCUCCCAUCAGAGGGGAUAACACUUGGAAACAGGUGCUAAACCGAUACUGAUGGAUGGACCCGCGGUGCAUUAGCAAGUUGGUGAGGUAACGGCUCACCAAGGCCACGAUGCAUAGCCGACGUGAGAGAGUGAUCGGCAACACUGGAACUGGGACACGGCCAGGACUCCUACGGGAGGCGGAGGGAGGGAAUCUUCGGCAAUGGACGAAAGUCUGACCGAGCAACGCCGCGGGAGUGAAGAAGGUUUUCGGAUCGUAAAACUCUGUUGUUGGGGAAACGGUAUCGAACCAGAAAGCCACGGCUAACUACGUGCCAGCAGCCGCGGUAUAC
rnacentral:rRNA from 1 species